UUCUUCAUUUCUAGAAAGUAACCACAAAAAAAAAAAAAAAAAGAAAGUAACCACAGUGCACACAAGAAGACAAGUAACUGCCCUAGAUUGUAAAUACUGAGGUGGAUCUCUUUCUUAACGUCCAGUGUCCUUUGUCUUAAGAUUUGGUGCAAUAUGU